rnacentral:lncRNA from 1 species
CUUUUGGCAGGAAAAGAGGCAUGAUGGGAGGAAGAAGGCUGUCCCUUGGUGGAAGCCAUAUGUAACAUGGAGGCUGCUAUCCCAUGUGGUAGCCAUCUGAUGGUGCAGAGCAUUAUGGGAAGGAGGCUACUGUUUUAUGUAGCAAGCUUCUUGAGAAACAAACUCCCAGUUGGCUUGCAGAUACAGAAAGAAAACAAAAGCACAUUGAAAGGUAA